UACGUAGGGUGCAAGCGUUGUCCGGAAUUAUUGGGCGUAAAGAGCUCGUAGGCGGUCUGUCGCGUCGGAUGUGAAAACCCAGGGCUCAACCCUGGGCCUGCAUUCGAUACGGGCAGACUAGAGUUCGGUAGGGGAGACUGGAAUUCCUGGUGUAGCGGUGAAAUGCGCAGAUAUCUGGAGGAACACCGGUGGCGAAGGCGGAUCUCUGGGCCGUAACUGACGCUGAGGAGCGAAAGCAUGGGGAGCGAACAGG
rnacentral:rRNA from 1 species